rnacentral:misc_RNA from 1 species
GGAAAGUUGGUUACCGAUGCCGGCGUUAAUAAGGAUGGUAAGCGCGAACAAAGUGGUAAAGUUGAUAUUACUGGCGUUGGAGGCAUUAGAUUGUUUUCGUCGUCAUUGGAGGGCUCCGACGCCGACGCCGACGCCGACGCCGGAACUAGCAGAGCUAGCGCCGAUGGCAUCGUUGCUGCUUCUGAGGGGCGAGAACUGGGGAGUAAGAAGACAGUGAAGAAGAGGAAGAAGAAAGUUAAGAAGCUGGG